GCAGCAGUAGGGAAUCUUCCACAAUGGAGGAAACUCUGAUGCAGCCAUGCCGCGUGUGUGAAGAAGGCCUUCGGGUUGUAAAGCACUUUCGGAGGGGAGGAAGAAAAUGACGUUACCCUCAGAAGAAGCACCGGCUAACUCCGUGCCAGCAGCCGCGGUAAUACGGAGGGUGCAAGCGUUAAUCGGAAUAACUGGGCGUAAAGGGCAUGCAGGCGGUUCAUCAAGUAGGAUGUGAAAUCCCCGGGCUCAACCUGGGAACAGCAUACUAAACUGGUGGACUAGAGUAUUGCAGGGGGAGACGGAAUUCCAGGUGUAGCGGUGGAAUGCGUAGAUAUCUGGAAGAACACCAAAGGCGAAGGCAGUCUCCUGGGCAAAUACUGACGCUCAUAUGCGAAAGCGUGGGUAGCAAACAGGAUUAGAUACCCUGGUAGUCCACGCCGUAAACGAUGUCAAUUAGGAGUUUGGGCCGUGUCA
rnacentral:rRNA from 1 species